rnacentral:rRNA from 1 species
UACGUAGGGUGCGAGCGUUAAUCGGAAUUACUGGGCGUAAAGCGUGCGUAGGCGGUUCGUUAAGUUCGUUGUGAAAGCCCCGGGCUCAACCUGGGAAUGGCAAUGGAAACUGGCGGGCUUGAGUAUGGCAGAGGGGGGUGGGAAUUCCGCGUGUAGCAGUGAAAUGCGUAGAGAUGUGGAGGAACACCGAUGGCGAAGGCAGCCCCCUGGGUUAACACUGACGCUCAGGCACGAAAGCGUGGGGAGCAAACAGG